rnacentral:snRNA from 1 species
AUCCUUACCUGGUAGGGAGACACCACGAUGAGGAAGGGGGUUUUCCCAGGGCGAGGCUCACCCAUCGCACUGCAGGUGCGCUGACCCCUGUGAUUUCCCCAAAUGCGGGAAACUCGACUGCAUAAUUUGUGGUAGUGGGGGAUUUUGUUCGCGCUCUCCCCUG